UGGGGAAUAUUGCACAAUGGAGGAAACUCUGAUGCAGCGACGCCGCGUGAGUGAAGAAGUAAUUCGUUAUGUAAAGCUCUAUCAGCAGGGAAGAUAGUGACGGUACCUGACUAAGAAGCUCCGGCUAAAUACGUGCCAGCAGCCGCGGUAAUACGUAUGGAGCAAGCGUUAUCCGGAUUUACUGGGUGUAAAGGGAGUGUAGGUGGCAUCACAAGUCAGAAGUGAAAGCCCGGGGCUCAACCCCGGGACUGCUUUUGAAACUGUGGAGCUAGAGUGCAGGAGGGGCAAGUGGAAUUCCUAGUGUAGCGGUGAAAUGCGUAGAUAUUAGGAGGAACACCAGUGACGAAGGCGGCUCACGGGAGCGCAACUGACGCUGAAGCUCGAAAGUGCGGGUAUCGAACAGGAUUAGAUACCCUGGUAGU
rnacentral:rRNA from 1 species